GCCAAUCUAAAGGAGGCUUCUUCUCAGCUGAGGUUGAACCUCUUCCCAGGUGAUAGCCAGCUUACCUCAAAUUGACAAAAAAUAAACCAGCUGCACCUGGGUGUGGUCGCCUAGAGCCCGGCUGAAGCUAGGAGAUGCCAGGGAAAGAGGUGGUUCCUGCCCGGGGCCCAUCCCGUGUCUCCAGCCCCAACAAUGCCUGGCAAGGUUGCUUUUUCUCUGCCACAGAUAACCCUGCACUCCAGCCCUGGGACAUAAAACGCUACCCCACUGUGUGAGGUGGUCGCCCUCUGCCUCACUGCGGAAGAGGCCUAUGGUAAACCCGUCAGUCCUCCUCAUUGUUCUGUUCACCUCAGAGCUGCCAGAAGGAGAGAGACGCCACCACGUAUUCUUAUUUAACAGACAAGAGAGGCCUAAAGGGCCACCCAGUGAAACUGCCUGAACUGCUUACUAGCUGUGUGACCUUGGGAAAAUUACUUAACCUUUCUGUGCUGCGAUGAACUCCUCUGUAGCUGUGGGUAUCAGUAGUAAAGUAGUAACCCCUCGCUGGCUUGAAUGACUUCACACAGACCACUGUUUUAAGUGCAGCAGGAACAUUGUGCAAAUGUUGGGCUUUACAAUACUCCAGUGUAUGUGUGUGCACACAACCAUUUCCAUACCCAGGAACCAGGGGUGGGAAAACAGCCCAAGGCUGUCAGGAUCCUAGGCCUUCAGAACCUAGAGUGGCUUGUCCUCAUGUAGGGCCCUGGGCCUUCUGCUAGACAGAUUCCCCCUUCCUCCCAAGGCUCUGGUCCCUGCGCUGUGAGUCUGAGGGAAAGCCCAGGAAAAACAGAGCCAUGGACCAUGAGUCCAGGCUGCCCAUGGGAGCCCACCCUGCUGCCUUGGGCCUGUCAGGUACACAGGGCAAGGGAAGCCAGUGUUUGUUUACCCCACCAGGCAGAGCCGCAACAUUUUUAGAUCCUCCAGGCUCCAGACAAGGAAGAGGAUGUGGAUGUUUGGACCGGCAACUUGGAUUUGCCUACCUGGAAACCGCUGGAAGGAGCAGAGUCCUUGGAUGUCACCGAGCUGGGCCAGAUGGCUGGGAGGGGGCCUACCCACUGCCCUCUUACUGGAAUGGACAAAGGUUCUUCCUCUGUGGAGAAGACCCCUGCCAGGCUCAUAUCAGCCCCAAGGCACUCUCUGGACCUCUGUCACUGGCUGCCUCAGCUGAAGUCCCCUGUCUUGCUCACAGCAGGCCUAGGACAGUCUUGAAAGCACGCCUUGAAAGCAAGGACAAGCAGAUGGCUGCAUCAUUCUUGCUGAGCUCCGGAGAAGGAGCUGUUGGAAUUCACUCCUAGGGAAACUAAGGCUCAGAGAGGCUCACAACUUAGCCAGCGUCACCCAGCAAGGACAUAGCAGUGGCGGUCUAACCUGAGGCUGUCUCCCUGUUCUGUUGUGUCUCCUAUGUUGCUUGGAUCAAAGCAGCACAUCUCUGAAGUGUUGUGGCGUCCUAAACCACAGGCACUCCAUGCUGGGAGCUGUUGGGGCUGGAGGAGAAAAGCUAAGGAUUCGGAAUAUCCCAGGACCUACCUCACCCCGGGCAGAAUUGUUAGAGGCGCCCGGAGAAGAAGCUGUGUCCUGGGAAUGGGUCAACCAGUCUGCUACAUGAUCGCUCUCAGCUGCCCAGCCGUGUGGGGAGAGUCUAUUAUCCCUGUUGACCAGACAGGAAAAUGGAGUCCUGACUUGGAGGAUCAUUGCCCAAGGCCUCAGUGGCCUCCUCUAUAGGAUGCGGAGGAUGCAGCCACGGUGACCAGUGGCCUGUUUCCAGACCCAGGCUGAGAGGCCCUCAUCUGCUGCAACCCCAGUUCCAGAGGAUCCAAGGCCCUUUAUGGCCUCUGGGAGUACCUGCACUGUAUGUGUGUGUUCACAUACACAAAA